rnacentral:lncRNA from 1 species
UUCAGAUUUGAGGCUUAAGCAACUUCUUCUGGGGAAGAGUGCCAGUGCAGCCACUGUUACAAUUCAAGAUCUUGAUCUAUAUCUAUAGAUUGGAAUAUUGGUGGGCCAGCAAUCCUCAGACACCUCACUUAGGACAAAUGAGGAAACUGAGGCUUGGUGAAGUUACGAAACUUGUCCAAAAUCACACAACUUGUAAAGGGCACAGCCAAGAUUCAGAGCCAGGCUGUAAAAAUUAAAAUGAACAAACUACGGCAAAGUUUUAGGAGAAAGAAGGAUGUUUAUGUUCCAGAGGCCAGUCGUCCACAUCAGUGGCAGACAGAUGAAGAAGGCGUUCGCACUGGAAAAUGUAGCUUCCCGGUUAAGGUAAGAGCUGAU